UACGUAGGGGGCAAGCGUUGUCCGGAGUUACUGGGCGUAAAGCGCACGCAGGCGGUCUCUUAAGUUUGGAGUGACAGUUGGUGGCUUAACUGCCAAAGUGCUUCGAAAACUGAGAGACUUGAGGGCUUCAGAGGGACACGGAAUUCCGGGUGGAGUGGUGAAAUGCGUAGAGAUCCGGAGGAACACCAAAGGCGAAGGCAGUGUCCUGGGGAGUACCUGACGCUCAGGUGCGAAAGCCAGGGGAGCGAUCCGG
rnacentral:rRNA from 1 species